UCUCUGCCACCAUUCUCUGCCCUCCUCCCCCGGCUGGGAUCUCCCCCCUCCUCACCUGGCUUCCCUUCCAGAAACCGCCCUCCGAUUGUCCCUGACCUCUGUGGCGUCUUACAAAAUCAUAGCUGAGCGUGUCCCCAUCCUCCCCGCCACUGUCCAGAUGGAGAAACUGAGGCCGAGAGAGGGGAAGACUUUCCCACUGGGAUCUCCAGAAGAAUCAAUGGGAGGAGAAUGCAAGUAUCCUCUCCCACUCUCUGCCUCAGGUUCCUUUGCAAGUAUCCCCUCCCACUCUCUGCCUCAGUUUCUUUCCUUUGCAAGUAUCCCCUCCCACUCUCUGCCUCAGUUUCUUUCCUUUGCAAGUAUCCUCUCCCACUCUCUGCCUCAGUUUCUUUCCUUUGCAAGUAUCCUCUCCCACUCUCUGCCUCAGUUUCUUUCCUUUGCAAGUAUCCUCUCCCACUCUCUGCCUCAGUUUCUUUCCUUUGCAAGUAUCCUCUCCCACUCUCUGCCUCAGGUUCCUUUGCAAGUAUCCUCUCCCACUCUCUGCCUCAGUUUCUUUCCUUUGCAAGUAUCCUCUCCCACUCUCUGCCUCAGGUUCCUUUGCAAGUAUCCUCUCCCACUCUCUGCCUCAGUUUCUUUCCUUUGCAAGUAUCCUCUCCCACUCUCUGCCUCAGUUUCUUUCCUUUGCAAGUAUCCUCUCCCACUCUCUGCCUCAGUUUCUUUCCUUUGCAAGUAUCCUCUCCCACUCUCUGCCUCAGUUUCCUUUGCAAGUAUCCUCUCCCACUCUCUGCCUCAGUUUCCUUUGCAAGUAUCCUCUCCCACUCUCUGCCUCAGUUUCCUUUGCAAGUAUCCUCUUCCACUCUCUGCCUCAGUUUCUUUCCUUUGCAAGUAUCCUCUUCCACUCUCUGCCUCAGGUUCUUUCCUUUGCAAGUAUCCUCUCCCAUUCUCUCUGCCUCAGUUUCUUUGGUGUCUUUUGCCUGAAGCUAAACAGCUUAUUUGAAAGAGUCCUUAUUGAAAGAGACAAGAGGGGGGUCCUUGAGAGGAGCGAA